GUCUCAUACAAAUAGAAUGAUACAGUUAGAAUUUGUGCCUCUAUUAUAUUUUACAUCUUUACACAGUGUUAUAGAAUAGGAAAAUCAACUAUUGAAUAUUCCUACCUCGUCUAAUUGUAAAUAGGAAUUGAGGGAGAAUGUUGGAACGUGAAGACCACAUCAGCUGUGGAAUAAAAAUACAAAGUGCAUAUAAGCGUUGGCAAGCCAAACAAAUGUGGUUUGCCCAAGUAUCAGCCAUAUUCAGCAUGGAGGCUAGCCUAUUUGUUGAUCCACUCUUGGGCUCACAAUUCUCAACAAUAUUGUUAGGAACAGCAGUUAGAGUGGUUAGAAAGGGUUAGGAAUUCUGUUUUGUAAUGAUUUGCACUUGGAAGAAUUUGCUACUGAUAUAAAUUUACUAAGAACCAUUAAGAGAGAGGAAUGCAAGAAUUCAAUACAAUUUCCUUCUAAAUCUCCUCCUCCACCUCUUCCUCAUUUUCCCUCUAUUUCCAACUGCCCAAACACCUUGGUUAAACCAUCAGAAUUCUAAGGCUCAACAGAUGCUGAAGGAUAUGAGUAGGAUUCAUCAAAUUCAACCUUGUAGGACCCCACUUUGAUAGGCCAUAACUAGGUAAUACAAGGUGAACUACUAUUCAAAAAACUUUUUCUUUUUACCUCUUUUAUUAUUAUUAAUU
rnacentral:misc_RNA from 1 species